rnacentral:misc_RNA from 1 species
CAAGUCCCUUUGAAAACUGGAUAAGAUACACGAUUCAGAUCUAUUUUUGCUUCUGAAAACUCUUGAAUACCAAUUAUGUGUGUGACAGUCCCAUCAUCAUCAUGUAUAGGUGCAAGUCUUAACCUGUUUACCAAUGGAGUACCAUCCUUUCGAAAAUUGAGAAGCUCACCUUGGAAUUCAAAACCUUCCUCAAGACAUCUUCUAAUUUCAGAAACAACACCAGGAUCAACUAAUGGAUGCCGUCUUUGAGCACGAGGAUCCCUAUAUUGUAAGAACCGACAGUUUCGACCGAGGGCCUCAUCAGCGCGGUAGCCAGUGAAAAUCUCGAAGACUUUGUUGACAUAAAUGAUGGGAAAAUCGGGCUCGAGAGCAUCGGAAACGACGAUAGACGUUGGCGUAGUUGGAUAGAAGAAGAGUCCUGCAUCCAAUGGAAGCUUGCUUUGCCCUUCUUCUUCCAAUUCCUCUUCUCCAUCAUCAUCAUCAUAAUCUUCUUCUUUUUCUUCUGCUUUGGUGCAUUUUAGCCUUUUGCCAGAGCUUUGAAGCUCCUCCUCAUCCUCUUCUUGUUCAUGGUUCGACAUGUCUGUGUUUCUCUCUCAACUCGGCCAAAAGUUUCUCCCUCUAGCGAGUCUCUGAGUGCGCGCGUUGUGCGUGAGAGAGAGAGAGAGAGAGAGA